AGAGUUUGAUCAUGGCUCAGAACGAACGCUGGCGGCGUGCUUAACACAUGCAAGUCGAACGCACCUUUCGGGGUGAGUGGCGCACGGGUGAGUAACGCGUAGGAAUUUACCUUUUGGUUUGGGAUAACAUUGGGAAACCGAUGCUAAUACCGGAUACGCCCUUAGGGGGAAAGAUUUAUCGCCGAAAGAUGAGCCUGCGUUAGAUUAGCUAGUUGGUGGGGUAAAGGCCUACCAAGGCGACGAUCUAUAGCUGGUCUUAGAGGAUGAUCAGCCACACUGGGACUGAGACACGGCCCAGACUCCUACGGGAGGCAGCAGUGGGGAAUAUUGGACAAUGGGGGCAACCCUGAUCCAGCAACGCCGCGUGAGUGAUGAAGGUCUUCGGAUUGUAAAGCUCUUUUGGCAGGGACGAUGAUGACGGUACCUGCAGAAUAAGCUCCGGCUAACUUCGUGCCAGCAGCCGCGGUAAUACGAAGGGAGCUAGCGUUGUUCGGAAUUACUGGGCGUAAAGGGCGCGUAGGCGGCGCAGCAAGUUGGGAGUGAAAUCCCCGGGCUUAACCUGGGAACUGCUUUCAAAACUGUUGUGCUAGAGUAAGGAAGAGGUUGGUGGAAUUCCCAGUGUAGAGGUGAAAUUCGUAGAUAUUGGGAGGAACACCGGUGGCGAAGGCGGCCAACUGGUCCUUAACUGACGCUGAGGCGC
rnacentral:rRNA from 1 species